GACUUAAUCACCUGGGGAUCUUGUUAAAAUGCAGAUUUUGAUUCAGUAAAUCCAGUCUGGAGCCCAAAGUCCUGCAUUUCUAACCCGCUCCCAGGUGAUGCUGAU
rnacentral:pre_miRNA from 1 species